GCACUGCGAGGGAAACAGAGAACACGGGGAGGGAGGAAUUAGCAGCGCCGGUGCAAAAGCUGCAGUCGUGUCUCACCGAAGAAGGAGCGGUGAAUGGAGGUUUGAAAAAAAAAGAAAAAAGGAGUCUUUCUUGAGGGUCUUUAUGUGGAUGUUGCGUAAACACAGACACAGACCUCCCGGGAAGCCACUUCCCAGUUGUUGUUCUCAAGUUUCCUCUUAUCACAGGACCAGAUUUUGCAGAACGGGUUUGACCCGUCAAUGCGAUCAAGGCAACUCGGCUGAAAAUGGAAAGCAAGUGUUUCCUGGCACUGGUUCAGUUGGGGGUGAAUGAUUAAUAUAAAAAAGGCAGCAUCCUGCUGCAGGGAAACGCUUUCAAGGAUCGGCGUGAUGACCCCGUAUGACUGAUAAACCACAUGGAGUCAAGAUGGAAGACGCGGGCGGGUGUGUGACACGGAGAACGGCCAGCGUGACAUCACUGAAAGUCAGAUUUUGCAGAUGUUAAGUCGAAAACAUCUGGCGAAAAUCAGGAGCGCUGCAUUGUUCUGUGAGACACAUAUCUCUUUAAAAGAAAACUAUAAAAGCAUCAGAGAUUAUUUGUAGCUGUGUGGUUUGUUGUUCCCUGGCAACACUACGACUGGAUGAGCCUGGUGUAUGCGCUAUUAG